rnacentral:rRNA from 1 species
AUAUCAAUAAGCGGAGGAAAAGAAACCAACAGGGAUUGCCCUAGUAACGGCGAGUGAAGCGGCAACAGCUCAAAUUUGAAAUCUGGCCCCCGGGUCCGAGUUGUAAUUUGUAGAGGAUGCUUUUGGUGCGGUACCUUCCGAGUUCCCUGGAACGGGACGCCAUAGAGGGUGAGAGCCCCGUCUGGUUGGACGCCAAUCCUUUGUAAAGCUCCUUCGACGAGUCGAGUAGUUUGGGAAUGCUGCUCUAAAUGGGAGGUAUAUGUCUUCUAAAGCUAAAUAUUGGCCAGAGACCGAUAGCGCACAAGUAGAGUGAUCGAAAGAUGAAAAGCACUUUGAAAAGAGAGUUAAAAAGUACGUGAAAUUGUUGAAAGGGAAGCGCUCAUGACCAGACUUGGGCCCGGUUGAUCAUCCAGGGUUCUCCCUGGUGCACUCUUCCGGCCCAGGCCAGCAUCAGUUCGCUGUGGGGGAUAAAGGCUUCGGGAAUGUGGCUCCUCCGGGAGUGUUAUAGCCCGCUGCGUAAUACCCUGUGGCGGACUGAGGUUCGCGCAUCUGCAAGGAUGCUGGCGUAAUGGUCAUCAGCGACCCGUCUUGAAACACGGACCAAGGAGUCGUCUUCGUAUGCGAGUGUUCGGGUGUUAAACCCCUACGCGGAAUGAAAGUGAACGCAGGUGAGAGCUUCGGCGCAUCAUCGACCGAUCCUGAUGUUCUCGGAUGGAUUUGAGUAAGAGCAUACGGGGCCGGACCCGAAAGAAGGUGAACUAUGCCUGUAUAGGGUGAAGCCAGAGGAAACUCUGGUGGAGGCUCGCAGCGGUUCUGACGUGCAAAUCGAUCGUCAAAUAUGGGCAUGGGGGCGAAAGACUAAUCGAACCUUCUAGUAGCUGGUUUCCGCC